ACUAGGUGACGUUAGCUAGCUAGCAAUAUGUUUUUAGCAUCAGGUGCUAGCAAUAUGUUUUUAGCAUCAGGUUACUAGUGAGAUAUGUUGUUUGCACAAAUUGUUUGCAGCAGAGCACGGUAAUUUAUUUGAGUAAAAUAAACAUAAUUUUUUACAUCAACUCAUAAGUUAUGUGAAACUUCCCCAGGAGCAUUGUUAAAAUACUUUGGAGGCACAGAAUCAGCCCAGAGCCAGUCCACAUCCUCAGGCUCAACUGUGAGUGAUGAAUCAGGUCCAUCUCCAUCCUCUACAGUGCUCUCUCACACACCUCCACCCUCUGUGCCCACUGUCCCCUCCAUGUCUGAAACCACAGCUGAUUUAUCUACAACUUCCACCACAACGUCCUCUUCACACCAUGGACCAUCAUCAGCUCCGCUAGUUGACCCAGCUGAGUGGCCUUCUUUCCUCUCAGAUUCAGACAGGACUGAGCAGGUCGUGUUGCGGGGGCUGCAGCCUAAGCAGAGAAGCCCAGUUACUUCGUCCAGCUCUUCUCGGGGGAUCCCGAGGCGUUCCCAGGCCAGCCAGCUGAUAUAAUCUUCCCAAUGUGUCCUGUGUCUUCCCCGUGGCUUCCUGCCGUUUGGACUUGCCUUAACGAAAAAAGCAA